rnacentral:rRNA from 2 species
GGACGAACGCUGGCGGCGUGCCUAAUACAUGCAAGUCGAGCGGAUCGAUGGGAGCUUGCUCCCUGAGAUCAGCGGCGGACGGGUGAGUAACACGUGGGUAACCUGCCUGUAAGACUGGGAUAACUCCGGGAAACCGGGGCUAAUACCGGAUAACACCUACCCCCGCAUGGGGGAAGGUUGAAAGGUGGCUUCGGCUAUCACUUACAGAUGGACCCGCGGCGCAUUAGCUAGUUGGUGAGGUAAUGGCUCACCAAGGCGACGAUGCGUAGCCGACCUGAGAGGGUGAUCGGCCACACUGGGACUGAGACACGGCCCAGACUCCUACGGGAGGCAGCAGUAGGGAAUCUUCCGCAAUGGACGAAAGUCUGACGGAGCAACGCCGCGUGAGUGAAGAAGGUUUUCGGAUCGUAAAACUCUGUUGUUAGGGAAGAACAAGUGCCGUUCGAAUAGGGCGGCGCCUUGACGGUACCUAACCAGAAAGCCACGGCUAACUACGUGCCAGCAGCCGCGGUAAUACGUAGGUGGCAAGCGUUGUCCGGAAUUAUUGGGCGUAAAGCGCGCGCAGGUGGUUUCUUAAGUCUGAUGUGAAAGCCCACGGCUCAACCGUGGAGGGUCAUUGGAAACUGGGGAACUUGAGUGCAGAAGAGGAAAGUGGAAUUCCAAGUGUAGCGGUGAAAUGCGUAGAUAUUUGGAGGAACACCAGUGGCGAAGGCGACUUUC